GAUGAAGAACGCAGCGAAAUGCGAUAAGUAAUGUGAAUUGCAGAAUUCAGUGAAUAAUCGAAUCUUUGAACGCACAUUGCGCCCGCCAGUAUUCUGGCGGGCAUGCCUGUCUGAGCGUCAUUUCAACCCUCAUGCCCCUAGGGCGUGGUGUUGGGGAUCGGCCAAAGCCCGCGAGGGACGGCCGGCCCCUAAAUCUAGUGGCGGACCCGUCGUGGCCUCCUCUGCGAAGUAGUGAUAUUCCGCAUCGGAGAGCGAUGAGCCCCUGCCGUUAAACCCCCAACUUUCCAAGGUUGACCUCAGAUCAGGUAGGAAUACCCGCUGAACUUAAGCAUAUCAAUAAGCGGAGGA
rnacentral:misc_RNA from 1 species